AACAACAUAUAAUUUGACCUAAUUAUGUGUUUAUAAAUGAAACAUAAUAACUAGACUGGUCCUGGUCCACCGAUGUGGGGCCCCCAAAUUUGGUUUCAGGGCUAUUUUGGUAAAAGAACUCUAGUGUGAUGCACGAUCCAAUCCCACCAACGUCUCAUUUUAUUUUAUUUCUUGGAGUGUGGUUGUUAAAUUGAAAUGGAA
rnacentral:lncRNA from 1 species